AUUGAACGCUGGCGGCAUGCCUUACACAUGCAAGUCGAACGGCAGCGCGGGGCAACCUGGCGGCGAGUGGCGAACGGGUGAGUAAUAUAUCGGAACAUACCCUAGAGUGGGGGAUAACGUAGCGAAAGUUACGCUAAUACCGCAUACGCACUAAGGUGGAAAGUGGGGGAUCUUCGGACCUCAUGCUCAUGGAGUGGCCGAUAUCUGAUUAGCUAGUUGUGAGGUAAAGGCUCACCAAGGCGACGAUCAGUAGCUGGUUUGAGAGAACGACCAGCCACACUGGAACUGAGACACGGUCCAGACUCCUACGGGAGGCAGCAGUGGGGAAUUUGGACAAUGGGGGCAACCCUGAUCCAGCAAUGCCGCGUGAGUGAAGAAGGCCUU
rnacentral:rRNA from 1 species